rnacentral:rRNA from 1 species
AGUGGCGGACGGGUGAGUAACACGUGGGUAAUCUGCCCUGCACUUCGGGAUAAGCCUGGGAAACUGGGUCUAAUACCGGAUAUGAACUCCUGCCGCAUGGUGGGGGUUGGAAAGUUUUUCGGUGCAGGAUGAGCCCGCGGCCUAUCAGCUUGUUGGUGGGGUAAUGGCCUACCAAGGCGACGACGGGUAGCCGGCCUGAGAGGGUGAUCGGCCACACUGGGACUGAGACACGGUCCAGACUCCUACGGGAGGCAGCAGUGGGGAAUAUUGCACAAUGGGCGAAAGCCUGAUGCAGCGACGCCGCGUGGGGGAUGACGGUCUUCGGAUUGUAAACCCCUUUCAGUAGGGACGAAGCGCAAGUGACGGUACCUGCAGAAGAAGCACCGGCUAACUACGUGCCAGCAGCCGCGGUAAUACGUAGGGUGCGAGCGUUGUCCGGAAUUACUGGGCGUAAAGAGCUCGUAGGCGGUUUGUCACGUCGUCUGUGAAAUCCCUCGGCUUAACCGGGGGCGUGCAGGCGAUACGGGCAGACUUGAGUACUACAGGGGAGACUGGAAUUCCUGGUGUAGCGGUGAAAUGCGCAGAUAUCAGGAGGAACACCGGUGGCGAAGGCGGGUCUCUGGGUAGUAACUGACGCUGAGGAGCGAAAGCAUGGGUAGCGAACAGGAUUAGAUACCCUGGUAGUCCAUGCCGUAAACGGUGGGCGCUAGGUGUGGGGUCCUUCCACGGACUCCGUGCCGUAGCUAACGCAUUAAGCGCCCCGCCUGGGGAGUACGGCCGCAAGGCUAAAACUCAAAGGAAUUGACGGGAGCCCGCACAAGCGGCGGAGCAUGUGGAUUAAUUCGAUGCAACGCGAAGAACCUUACCUAGGCUUGACAUAUACAGGACGACGGCAGAGAUGUCGUUUCCCUUGUGGCUUGUAUACAGGUGGUGCAUGGUUGUCGUCAGCUCGUGUCGUGAGAUGUUGGGUUAAGUCCCGCAACGAGCGCAACCCCUGUCUCAUGUUGCCAGCACGUAAUGGUGGGGACUCGUGAGAGACUGCCGGGGUCAACUCGGAGGAAGGUGGGGAUGACGUCAAAUCAUCAUGCCCCUUAUGUCUAGGGCUUCACACAUGCUACAAUGGCUAGUACAGAGGGCUGCGAUACCGCGAGGUGGAGCGAAUCCCUUAAAGCUGGUCUCAGUUCGGAUUGGGGUCUGCAACUCGACCCCAUGAAGUCGGAGUCGCUAGUAAUCGCAGAUCAGAAUGCCGCGGUGAAUACGUUCCCGGGCCUUGUACACACCGCCCGUCACACCAUGGGAGUGGGUUGCACCAGAAGUAGAUAGCCUAACCCUUUUGGAGGG